rnacentral:rRNA from 1 species
AUUGAACGCUGGCGGCAUGCUUUACACAUGCAAGUCGAACGGCAGCGCGGGGCAACCUGGCGGCGAGUGGCGAACGGGUGAGUAAUAUAUCGGAACGUACCCAGAAGUGGGGGAUAACGUAGCGAAAGUUACGCUAAUACCGCAUACGAUCUACGGAUGAAAGUGGGGGAUCGCAAGACCUCAUGCUUUUGGAGCGGCCGAUAUCUGAUUAGCUAGUUGGUAGGGUAAAGGCCUACCAAGGCGACGAUCAGUAGCUGGUCUGAGAGGACGACCAGCCACACUGGGACUGAGACACGGCCCAGACUCCUACGGGAGGCAGCAGUGGGGAAUUUUGGACAAUGGGCGCAAGUCUGAUCCAGCAAUGCCGCGUGAGUGAAGAAGGCCUUCGGGUUGUAAAGCUCUUUUGUCAGGGAAGAAACGGCCGAGGCUAAUACCUUUGGCUAAUGACGGUACCUGAAGAAUAAGCACCGGCUAACUACGUG